UACGGGGGGGGCAAGCGUUGUUCGGAAUUACUGGGCGUAAAGGGCUCGUAGGUGGCCAAUUAAGUCAGGCGUGAAGUCCCCAGGCUCAACUUGGGAACUGCGUCUGAUACUGGUUGGCUUGAAUUCGGGAGAGGGAUGCAGAAUUCCAGGUGUAGCGGUGAAAUGCGUAGAUAUCUGGAGGAAUACCGGUGGCGAAGGCGGCAUCCUGGACCGAGAUUGACACUGAGGAGCGAAAGCCAGGGGAGCAAACGGG
rnacentral:rRNA from 1 species